rnacentral:rRNA from 1 species
ACGGGAGGCAGCCUUGCUGCAUAUUGGUCAAUGGUCGGAAGACUGAACAAGCCAAGUCGCGUGCAGGAAGACGGUCCUAUGGAUUGUAAACUGCUUUUGUACGGGAAUAAAGUGCGGGACGUGUCCCGUUUGGAAUGUACCGUAAGAAUAAGGGUCGGCUAACUCCGUGCCAGCAGCCGCGGUAAUACGGAGGACCCGAGCGUUAUCCGGAUUUAUUGGGUUUAAAGGGUGCGCAGGCGGAGGAUUAAGUCAGCGGUGAAAUUUUCAUGCUCAACAUGAAAACUGCCAUUGAUAAUGGUCCCCUUGAGAGAUGUCGAGGAUGGCGGAAUGUGAUGUGUAGCGGUGAAAUGCUUAGAUAUGUUACAGAACACCGAUUGCGAAGGCAGCUGUCCAGAGAUCUUCUGACGCUCAGGCACGAAAGCAUGGGUAUCAAACAGGAUUAGAUACCCUGGUA